CCUCCAGGGGAUGUAGGCCAAGUUUAUGUUCACGGUGAAAAAGGAGCUGACCUAAAGUUGCCUUGGUCUUGUUUCCUCAAAUGACAGAGCUGGCCAGCUUUUAGUUCAAAUCAGAAAUCCAGGAGCAUGUGCCCUGAGCACGAACCUGGGAAUGCCUCGCUCCUACAGCGGCCACGGAUGACGUGGCCUGCCAUUCUAAAGGCCAGGGAGGAUCUGCCACCUUCAAAGAGGAACUAAGAGGCGCACUUGGGAAUGAAGGGACAUACCGAGCGUUCGCAAUAAGACAAACUGCAUUCCCAGAGCAAAAGGUCUCUCCUCGUCUUCCACGGACCUAAGGGGAAGGGAAAGAAAGGAACAUAUCAAAAUCAUGGCCGUGAGAAAAUGACUGUCAAAUCAAACCUGCGUAGUGUAGGGCCAAGGGCCAGAGACACGCUUUGCCCAAGUGUUGAAUGUUCUAGAAUUAUUAACCACAGCCCAGCAAGACUGCUGAUGGCUGACCCAGUGACCGAAGGUGUCCCCAAGGAAGACACCCAAGAAAGUCCAAUGGAGUCUAAUCAUUUCUGUAUGAGUGCUGAGGGACAGGCCUCAGGGUCAGGGCUGAAAGUGCAGAGGUGGCUCUCACUGAACUUCCCAGAUCAGUUCUGUUACAUACAGAAGGCAUUUUAUCCAAAUUACUACACUUAUUCUCUCUUUGCCUGCACUUUCCUGUUGGUGUGUACACUGAAAAUCACUCCCGUAAUGCCUCAGGGAAAAGUAGAGAGAGAAAAGUUUUACAAUAGACAGUCAAAAACAGCCCAGCCAGUGCAACUCAGUGGUUGAGUGUUGACCCAGGAACCAAGAGGUCGCAGUUCAAUUAUCAGGCAGGACACAUGCCCAGGUUGUGGGCUUGAUCCCCAGUGUGGGGCAUACAGGAGGCAGCCAAUCAAUGAUUCUCUCUCAUCAUUGAUGCUUCUAUCUUUCUCUCUCCCUCCCCUUUCCUCUCU